rnacentral:rRNA from 1 species
UGGGGAAUAUUGCACAAUGGAGGGAACUCUGAUGCAGCGACGCCGCGUGAACGAAGAAGGCUUUCGAGUCGUAAAGUUCUUUUAUAUGGGAAGAUAAAGACGGUACCAUAAGAAAAAGCCCCGGCUAACUACGUGCCAGCAGCCGCGGUAAUACGUAGGGGGCUAGCGUUGUCCGGAAUCACUGGGCGUAAAGGGUUCGCAGGCGGAAAUGCAAGUCAGGUGUAAAAGGCAGUAGCUUAACUACUGUAAGCAUUUGAAACUGCAUAUCUUGAGAAGAGUAGAGGUAAGUGGAAUUUUUAGUGUAGCGGUGAAAUGCGUAGAUAUUAAAAAGAAUACCGGUGGCGAAGGCGACGUACUGGGCUCAUUCUGACGCUGAGGAACGAAAGCGUGGGUAGCAAACAGG